rnacentral:rRNA from 1 species
AGCGAACGCUGGCGGCAGGCCUAACACAUGCAAGUCGAACGAAGUCUUCGGACUUAGUGGCGGACGGGUGAGUAACACGUGGGAACGUGCCCUUUGGUACGGAAUAACUCAGGGAAACUUGAGCUAAUACCGUAUGUGCCCUUCGGGGGAAAGAUUUAUCGCCAUUGGAGCGGCCCGCGUCUGAUUAGCUAGUUGGUGAGGCAAAGGCUCACCAAGGCGACGAUCAGUAGCUGGUCUGAGAGGAUGAUCAGCCACAUUGGGACUGAGACACGGCCCAAAAUCCUACGGGAGGCAGCAGUGGGGAAUCUUGCGCAAUGGGCGAAAGCCUGACGCAGUCAUGCCGCGUGAAUGAUGAAGGUCUUAGGAUUGUAAAAUUCUUUCACCGGGGACGAUAAUGACGGUACCCGGAGAAGAAGCCCCGGCUAACUUCGUGCCAGCAGCCGCCGUAAAAC